rfam:Vibrio anguillarum 775 chromosome I, complete sequence.
UGCGCCGUCUUUGGGGAGUAGCUUACCAGUGAGAUUUCUUAUCUUGAUGGUUCGUUCGUCAACAUAAUUGGUGCCAAAUCACCGUGGCGUUCGAGGCUAAAGUCAUUUUAGCU